AUGAACGCUGGCGGCGCGCUUAACACAUGCAAGUCGAACGAUUAAAGCUCACUUCGGUGAGUGUAUAGAGUGGCGAACGGGUGAGUAACACGUGGGAAACCUGCCCCUUUCUUCGGGAUAACUUCGGGAAACCGUUGCUAAUACCGGAUACUCCGGGAUGGUCGCAUGGCCGACCCGGGAAAGCUUUAUGUGGAAAGGGAUGGUCCCGCGGCCCAUUAGCUUGUUGGUGGGGUAAUGGCCUACCAAGGCAAUGAUGGGUAGCCG
rnacentral:rRNA from 1 species